rnacentral:rRNA from 1 species
AUGUCAAUCACUCAACAAAGAAGCGUAAAGGCCAAUUGCGUUAGCGCAGGCGAGCUUACGGGCAUCGCACUCUCGCCGAUGCUUCCGAACUCGAGAGCCCGCCACCGGCGCGACCCGAGCAAGCUCCUCUACAAGCCGCGCCCGCCGCCGGAGCCGCACCCGUUCCUGCUCCACCUCAAGUCGCUCCCUUCGCCGGUCGCCGCGGCGGCCGCGCUCCUCUCGGCGCCGCGCCGCCUCCACGACCACCCCUUCGCCUCCUGCGUGCUCUACCGCCUGGCCCGCGCGCGCCUCUUCCCGCUCCUCCUCCCGCUCCUCUCCGCGCUCCGCGCCCGCCGCGCCCCGCUCCGCGCCACCGUCUUCGCCGGGCUCAUCGACCGCCUCGGCGCCGCCUCCCGCCCCGACGCGGCCCUCAUCGUCUUCUUCCGCGCCGUUCCCGCCUUCUGCUCCCACUCCAACGCCACCUUCCACGCGCUGAUCCACUGCCUCGUCUGCAACGGACGCGUGGAUGCCGCCCGGAACAUGCUCCCCCGGGCCGCCAAGCUCGGCGUCCGCCCCAACGCCGUCUCCUACAACAUCAUCCUCAAGGGGCUGUGCGGCCGGGACGGGUCCGCGGGCGCCCGCGUGGUGCUCGACGAAAUGCUCGGCCGCGGCGUCCGGCCCACGGUGGUCACCUUCAACACGCUGGUGGGGGCGGCGUGCCAGGAGGGGGACGUGGGCGCGGCGGAGCGGCUCAAGGAAGAGAUGGUGCGCCGGGGCGUCUCGCCGAACGCCGUGACAUACUCCCUCCUGAUGCGGGGUCUCUGCGACGCCGGUCGGCAGGACGACGCCAAGAAGCUGAUGUUCGACAUGGAGUACCAGGGCUGCCAGACCGAGGCGGUGAACUACGGCGUGCUGAUGAGCGCCUACGCGAGGCAGGGCGACGUUGACGCCAUCAGGGGGCUGCUCUCCGACAUGCGCAUGCGCAAGCUCGGGCCCGACGACGCGAGCUACAACGUCCUGAUCAAGUGCCUGUGUGACAGCGGCAGGGUGGAGGAGGCGCACAAGGCGCUCGUCGAGAUGCAGCUCAAAGAUGGCAUGGCGCCAAGCGCGGCGACUUACCGCGUCCUGGCCGACGGGUGCUGCAGAGCCGGCGAUUUCGGGUUGGGGCUACGGGUUUUCAACGCCAUGCUGUCCAGCGGGCAUCGCCCCCUAGGUCACACCUUCAAGCACCUGGCGAAAGGGCUGGGCGAGGACGGCAAGGCGGAGGAAGCCUGCUUCGUCUUGGAGAAGAUGGCGGAGAGUGGGGUGUGCAUGGAUGCAGAAGGGUGGCGGUCUCUUGCAACAUGCGUCUGCAGCGGCAGCGCAGGUGAGGUGAAGCUCGUCGAUGAGCUAGCGUUGUCAUCUUGA